rnacentral:lncRNA from 1 species
CUCCAUCUCAACCUUAUUCAUGUCAGUAUAAUAGGUUAUUAUUAAAGGCUUCCUGAAGCUUAUGGUCUAUUUGAGAACGAUGAGGUAUUCACCGCCUGCCAAUCAUGCUCUUCACAAUUAGGAAGUUUAUGCCUCAGUUAAUGGUUUUUCUUUUCCUCAUGAUGUAACAAGAGAAUUUAUCCUGAUGAUGUAAACCUAGAGAUACUACUGGUAGCCAUUUUUAUCACCAAGUGAUAACAGAGAUGGCCUGAGAAUGAAGCCAAGAAAGAGCACCACAGAACUAAGAGAUUCUGCUGUCAAGUGGCCUGUUGGAGAAAAGGGCAUGGAUGAUGAAAAUACAGAUGAGAAAAAGGGCAGUAGGAAAUGAAGACACCCACCUAACACAAUAUCCAGAAGUAGGUGGCAGGAGGAAUGUGCAGCUGCUUGAGCAAGUCGUCCAGGAUCGAGCUCUUCCAGAUUCCUGUGGCACCAUCCUCCACACGUGGCAUUCUUCCUCCUGAUUAUAAGG